rnacentral:rRNA from 1 species
UCCUACGGGAGGCAGCAGUAGGGAAUUUUGCACAAUGGGCGCAAGCCUGAUGCAGCGACGCCGCGUGGAGGAUGACGGUUUUCGGAUUGUAAACUCCUGUUAAGUGGGAAUAAAUGCUCUCGUUUAAUAAACGAGAGAGCUGAAGGUACCACUAGAGAAAGCUCCGGCUAACUUCGUGCCAGCAGCCGCGGUAAUACGAAGGGAGCAAGCGUUAUUCGGAAUUACUGGGCGUAAAGGGCGUGUAGGCGGUUUGUUUAGUCAGUAGUUAAAGAUCCCGGCUUAACCGGGAAAGGGCUAUUGAUACUGGCAGACUAGAGGAUAAGAGAGAGGAGUGGAAUUCUCGGAGUAGCGGUAAAAUGCGUAGAUCUCGAGAGGAACACCGAUGGCGAAGGCAGCUCCUUGGCUUAUUCCUGACGCUGAGACGCGAAAGCGUGGGGAGCAAACAGGAUUAGAUACCCUGGUAGUCCUCGCCGUAAACGAUGAUCACUGGAUGUUGGGUUUGCUUAGCAGGCUCAGUGUCGAAGCUAACGCGUUAAGUGAUCCGCCUGGGGAGUACGGUCGCAAGAUUAAAACUCAAAUGAAUUGACGG